rnacentral:rRNA from 1 species
AUUGAACGCUGGCGGUAUGCUUAACACAUGCAAGUCGAACGAUGAGAAAGAGCUUGCUCUUUCGAUUAGUGGCGGACGGGUGCGUAACGCGUAGGAAUCUACCUAUUAGUGGGGGACAACUUAGGGAAACUUAAGCUAAUACCGCAUACGCCCUACGGGGGAAAGAAGGGGAUCGCAAGACCUUUUGCUAAUAGAUGAGCCUGCGUAGGAUUAGCUAGUUGGUGGGGAAAAAGCUCACCAAGGCGACGAUCCUUAACUGGUUUGAGAGAAUGAUCAGUAACACUGGAACUGAGACACGGUCCAGACUCCUACGGGAGGCAGCAGUGGGGAAUAUUGGACAAUGGGCGAAAGCCUGAUCCAGCAAUACCGCGUGUGUGAAGAAGGCCUUAGGGUUGUAAAGCACUUUCAAUUGGAAGGAAAACCUCGAAGCUAAUACCUUCGAGUUUGACAUUACCUUUAGAAGAAGCACCGGCUAACUCCGUGCCAGCAGCCGCAGUAA